UACGGAGGGUGCGAGCGUUUGUCCGGAAUCACUGGGCGUAAAGGGCGCGUAGGCGGCCUGAUAAGUAGGGGGUGAAAUCCUGCGGCUUAACCGCAGGGCUGCCUUCUAAACUGUCAGGCUAGAGCACAGUAGAGGCAGGUGGAUUCCCGGUGUAGCGGUGGAAUGCGUAGAGAUCGGGAAGAACAUCGGUGGCGAAGGCGGCCUGCUGGGCUGUUGCUGACGCUGAGGCGCGACAGCGUGGGGAGCAAACAGG
rnacentral:rRNA from 1 species